rnacentral:rRNA from 1 species
CGCAGAAGAAGCACUGGCUAACUCCGUGCCAGCAGCCGCGGUAAUACGGAGGGUGCAAGCUUAAUCGGAAUUACUGGGCGUAAAGCGCACGCAGGCGGUCUGUCAAGUCGGAUGUGAAAUCCCCGGGCUCAACCUGGGAACUGCAUUCGAAACUGGCAGGCUUGAGUCUCGUAGAGGGGGGUAGAAUUCCAGGUGUAGCGAUGAAAUGCGUAGAGAUCUGGAGGAAUACCGGUGGCGAAGGCGGCCCCUUGGACGAAGACUGACGCUCAGGUGCGAAAGCGUGGGGAGCAAACAGGAUUAGAUACCCUGGUAGUCCACGCCGUAAACGAUGUCUACUUGGAGGCUGUGCCCGUGAGGCGUGGCUUCAGGAGCUAACGCGUUAAGUAGACCGCCUGGGGAGUACGGCCGCAAGGUUAAAACUCAAAUGAAUUGACGGGGGCCCGCACCAGCGGUGGAGCAUGUGGUUUAAUUCGAUGCAACGCGAAGAACCUUACCUGGUCUUGACAUCCACGGAAGACUGCAGAGAUGCGGUUGUGCCUUCGGGAACCGUGAGACAGGUGCUGCAUGGCGGUCGUCAGCUCGUGUUGUGAAAUGUUGGGUUAAGUCCCGCAACGAGCGCAACCCUUAUCCUUUGUUGCCAGCGGUCCGGCCGGGAACUCAAAGGAGACUGCCAGUGAUAAACUGGAGGAAGGUGGGGAUGACGUCAAGUCAUCAUGGCCCUUACGACCAGGGCUACACACGUGCUACAAUGGCAUAUACAAAGAGAAGCGACCUCGCGAGAGCAAGCGGACCUCAUAAAGUAUGUCGUAGUCCGGAUUGGAGUCUGCAACUCGACUCCAUGAAGUCGGAAUCGCUAGUAAUCGUGGAUCAGAAUGCCACGGUGAAUACGUUCCCGGGCCUUGUACACACCGCCCGUCACACCAUGGGAGUGGGUUGCAAAAGAAGUAGGUAGCUUACACCUUCGGGAGGGCGCUUACCA